UACGUAGGGUGCGAGCGUUAAUCGGAAUUACUGGGCGUAAAGCGUGCGCAGGCGGUUCGUUAAGUUCGUUGUGAAAGCCCCGGGCUCAACCUGGGAACUGCAAUGGAAACUGGCGGGCUUGAGUGUGGCAGAGGGGGGUGGAAUUCCGCGUGUAGCAGUGAAAUGCGUAGAGAUGCGGAGGAACACCGAUGGCGAAGGCAGCCCCCUGGGCCAACACUGACGCUCAGGCACGAAAUCGUGGGGAGCGAACAGG
rnacentral:rRNA from 1 species